UUUUUUUGAUAGCUUACCACGCUUGCAGCUUGGUACAAAUGCAGUGUAGGUUAAGAACAUCCAACCCACCUUCUGCAUUACAAACAGAUGUUUAGACAAGACAACUUCAAAAUGAGAAAAUAGUACUAUGUGUGUGCAGACAUUUCAACACGGAAAAACAAUUCCCGGUCAUAUGAUCGACGCUAACCUAAUAAAAUGAAAUAACAUACACUUCCGUUAAUCAACAAUCACAUGUACACGUAGGAUUCUAAUUUGAGAAAAGGGAAACACCAUUGCAGCUGGCCACAUAUUAGUAGAUGCGGAGUCGUUUCACAUUGUUUUAUAGGCGUUGUAACAAGUUGCUCUUAUUUUUUCCUCGAAUAUGCAGGACUGUGCAUAUCAUAUAUUAAAAAGGAAUGUAAUACACAAUACGAAUUCUUGGUGGCCUUUCCAUUUGAUGUUCUACGUGAAUGUGCUUAACUGAGUCAUUUGAUGCUCAACUAAUUAGUAAUUAUCUUGCGAACCAUAAUCUCGGACAUGCAACCUUUUUUUUGUGAAUCAUCGGAUGCGAAAUCUUGGUCAUGCGAGACUUUAUAUUAAUAGUAAGUUCUACAUUUUCUCAAAAAAGAAGAAGAGCAUGUUCUACAAACUCAGCCGAACCAUUUUUUCCAUAAAGUUGGUGUUUAAAAAAAUUUAGGAUAGAUUAAGGAGGUUCUAGAAUCUCCUUUCGUUUCGGGAGAGACUCGGGUGAUACCAUCCUUCACAUAGUCGUGUGCUCCUAAUAAGUUUGAAAAUAUUUAAAUGCUUAAAGCCAUCUUGAAAAAAAAUUGUGUAUGCUCACAGGUCAUGUGUCU
rnacentral:lncRNA from 1 species